rnacentral:rRNA from 1 species
CGUCCAGCCCGCUCAGAAACUUAAAUGAAUUGACGGGGCCCGGCACAAGCGGAGGAGCAUGUGGUUAAUUCGAUGAUACGCGAGGAACCUUACCUGGGCUCGAACGUAAGAUGACUGUAGGUGAAAGCUUACAUCUCUUCGGAGCAUUUUACGAGGUGCUGCAUGGUUGUCGUCAGCUCGUGCCGUGAGGUGUCGGGUUAAGUCCCAUAACGAGCGCAACCCCUACCUUUAGUUGCCAUCAGGUAAUGCUGGGGACUCUAAAGGAACUGCCUACGCAAGUAGUGAGGAAGGCGGGGAUGACGUCAAAUCAGCACGGCCCUUACGUCCAGGGCUACACACGUGCUACAAUGGCCGAUACAGAGGGCAGCUACCUGGUGACAGGAUGCAAAUCUCCAAAGUCGGUCUCAGUUCGGAUCGGAGUCUGCAACCCGACUCCGUGAAGUUGGAUUCGCUAGUAAUCGCGCAUCAGCCAUGGCGCGGUGAAUACGUUCCCGGGCCUU